rnacentral:tRNA from 1 species
GGGAUCCUGGUCUAGAGGUAUGAUUCUCGUUUAGGGUACGAGAGGUCCUGGGUUCGAUUCCCAGGGAUCCCC